AUUGAACGCUGGCGGCAGGCCUAACACAUGCAAGUCGAGCGGAUGAAGGGAGCUUGCUCCUGGAUUCAGCGGCGGACGGGUGUGUAAUGCCUAUGAAUCUGCCUGGUAGUGGGGGAUAACGUCCGGAAACGGGCGCUAAUACCGCAUACGUCCUGAGGGAGAAAGUGGGGGAUCUUCGGACCUCACGCUAUCAGAUGAGCCUAGGUCGGAUUAGCUAGUUGGUGGGGUAAAGGCCUACCAAGGCGACGAUCCGUAACUGGUCUGAGGGGAUGAUCAGUCACACUGGAACUGAGACACGGUCCAGACUCCGACGGGAGGCAGCAGUGGGGAAUAUUGGACGAUGGGCGAAAGCCUGAUCCAGCCAUGCCGCGUGUGUGAAGAAGGUCUUCGGAUGGGAAAGCACUUUAAGUUGGGAGGAAGGGCAGUAAGUUAAUACCUUGCUGUUUUGACGGUACCAACAGAAUAAGCACCGGCUAACUUCGUG
rnacentral:rRNA from 1 species